CCUACCAUUUAAAAAAAAUUAAAACUUUUCCCAAAACUCUCUCAACCCCCCUUAGCGCCGGCCUAGGGCUCCGUCGUCGGCACACCGUGCCUCCGUCGUGGCCCUACAGUGGACGAUGGCCGGAGUCGCACAAAAUCGGGUUUUUAACCCCUUUUUAAAGCAGAUUCGAAGGUGAAGCCUUCCUAGACUAAAAAAAUCAAAAAGAAAAGGACCCUCCACCCUCUGGUGGUGUUAGAGAAGCGUGGAGGAGCGGCGCGUUAGAUGGCGAGGGAUAGGCCUAGCAUGCGGCAGCUGAAGGCUUAGGGUUAAGGGUUGAUUUUGCUGAAAUGUUUUAGGAUAGUUGGGCUAGGGUUAAUUUUGGGUUAUUGAGUUUUGGUUUGGGUAGUGGGCUGAUGUGGGUUUUAAUUUUGUAAUUUGGACUAUUAAAACUUUGGGACCUUUUAUUUAUUUAUGUUUAUUAUUUGGUUUUUAUUUUAUAAACUGGGUCAGGCUAAAAUUGGCCUAUUACACUAUUGAUGUAAAAAACACUUUCAAUUAAAUUAUAAUUUUAAA